GGAGAGUGACAAGUUACUGCUAAUAACUGAAAGUCGUAUCGUUCGACCCUCUCUU
rnacentral:tRNA from 1 species